GAUCCGCUAGCUCAGCAGGUAGAGCACUUCCCUUUUAAGGAAGGGGUCUUGGGUUCGAACCCCAAGCGGAUCA
rnacentral:tRNA from 1 species